AUAAAAUAUUUGGUUCUGGUAUACUGUUAGUUAAGAGUUCUUUGAUAUACACAAUGUAGGAAAUCUUCGUGAUGUGCUAGUUUAAUAAAAGAGAUAAGUCUGAGCUAAAGCCUAAAUGGUGAACAGGCAACAGUAUAAGCAUAAGUUAUAUACUAUGACGCAAAAAGAAUCACAACUCAAGUGGACAGCCCUGGGCUCAAUGGGUUAAAGCCCGAAACGAACGAGAAACUGAUUAAUAUGAGCUAAAAUGGGUGCCAGCAGCUGCGGUCAUACCCUUUAUAGACGGACUAAUAGAGGUACAGCCUAGAGGCGGUUAGUUAGUAAUAAAUGCAUUGACACACGUCAGGCUAUAGAGGUUAAAUCCUAUUUAAAACUUGGAGGAGGUUCUUUGCUUGCAUGAAAAUGAUUCCGCGAAAUUAUGGAAAUAAACCUGGAUUUGAUACCCAAUUAUUCCAUAACGCUAAGAAUAACGGCUUUACAGCAUUAGCUGGUUGCUGGGGUACUACGAGCAACUGCUUAAAACUCGAAGAACUUGGCGGUUCCAUAAAGCCAUCCAGAGGCUCUUGGCGCUUAAUCCGAUGAUCCGCGUGAUAUCUUACCUACCCUAUAUGGUAUCGUACUGCCGUCGAAAGUGUAUGAUGUGAGUAAGCUAGAAUAAACGAUGCCUUAAAGUAGUGGUUUAACUAACGCAUUAACUUUGAGACAAGGUCAGGUCGAAGCGUUCCUUAUGGGUAUGGGGUUUGCUGAGAGACAAUUUUUUAGUUAUACCCAGCCCUAAAUUUGAAAUAUUUUAGUUUGGCAAGGGGGAUUUGGGAGUAAACAAAAAGUAAUCCAUUAUGUUGAAUAGACGUUACUAUGGUGCGUACAAAUCGCCCGUCACCCUAGCCGAAAGGAGAGGUAAGUCGUAACAUGGUAAGGGUAGGGGAACCUGCUCUUGUAAU
rnacentral:ncRNA from 1 species